UGUAUUCAACAUCUUUGCAUGCUUGUUUGAGCAAUUUCAAAGGCUUCCCUCAUAUCCGUCCAAAUGUCAGUCCCAGAUCAUAAAGCAGUCAGCUGAAGCUUCUCAUGCAAACCCAUGAAUCUGAGCAGCAUCCUGGGUUCAUACAGCUGCUUUCAGUAGAAGACUGAAAUAACGUGCUUUGGAUAAGUUGCUAAGAACCACAAAGAACAUGUCAAGUUACAAGGUGAGAAUGAUACUCUGAGAAAUACCAAGGCAGAGAACCUACAAAUACGUUCACAUUUUACACAGACUAACGCCCUGAUCCUGCUAUAGGAUGUAUAGUGGACAUGGAUUUCACACCGAGGUCUGGAUAUUGACCGAUCUGUCCAGAGGGACCAGGUACCAUUCCCGUGGGUAACGACUGCAGGCUACAGGGAUCACAGGCAGACGGUGUGGAUUAGAAGAACAUCAUGAUAACGCAUACGUUUAGGACAAGUGGUUGAAGUUCUCAAGAAAUCCCUGGCAUUGUUCAGAGCUGGAGAGGGGAAACUGGAGGACACGA